rnacentral:rRNA from 1 species
UACGUAGGGGGCAAGCGUUGUCCGGAUUUAUUGGGCGUAAAGAGCGUGUAGGCGGCCUGACAGGUCUGCUGUGAAAACUCGAGGCUCAACCUCGAGAUGUCGGCGGAAACCGUCUGGCUAGAGUCCGGAAGAGGAGAGUGGAAUUCCUGGUGUAGCGGUGAAAUGCGCAGAAUAUCAGGAAGAACACCUAUGGCGAAGGCAGCUCUCUGGGACGGUACUGACGCUGAGGCACGAAAGCGCGGGGAGCGAACAGG